AGCAAUUCAGUAUGGCCGCCGCGCCAUGCCAGAGAGGACUGCUGAGUGCUGCACCGUGCACACUGGUGACUAGAGGCUGUAAUCGUGAACGCCUGCUGCUGUAAGCCACGAUGAGGACUGCGCUUAUAGUAGGACUACUGACACUGCUGGCUCUGGACGUCUGUCAAUCCGAACUUAGAACAUGCUCUCAAAUCGGCCCCUGUCUUGAUGGCCCCAGCCCGGGGGAAUGCGUUUUUAGUGCUGAUGUGUGCGACGGUGGAAAUGAAUACAUAACAGAUGAUAACUGUGGUUUCUGCACGUGUUGCAAGACCUGUGAGCCAGACGAUUCGUGUGCCCGUAAGAAUGGGAUAUGCGUCAACCCAACUCACGUAUCUGGACCGACAUACUUUCCUCACGAUCUAUGUCCCGAGGGAUAUCGUCAUUUUAUGGGAGGCAAUUGCGGCACUGAUAACUGCAUCUGCUGUGUUCUAAGGCCUCAAUCUGAGGGGUGAAACUGACCCUGAGCCACCGCCACCGCCUGCACGACCGCCGCCCUGACCGAGGACUGACCCUGCCCUGACCUGCCCUUGACCUGGCCCGCCUCACCUUCAUGCACGGACUUCCUGCACCUGCGCCGUGCACGCUGAUCCUCUGCAGAGUAUUCAAUUCUCCUUCUUCUUGGGCUUGAUGCCAGAGCACCCUUCUGGAAAGAAAAAAAAAAAAAGCACAAACGUAAAUAGAGAGAUUACAGAAAACUUAACAUUUCAGCAGACAUGAAUUUUGACUUUCCAAAUUCUAUGUAUGCUCAGCUCGCAGUAUGUGUGUACCAACUGUUCAGAAUUAUGCUGCAAAUAAAAUAGAAGCAAUC